CACGUAGGCACCAAGCGUUGUCCGGAUUUAUUGGGCGUAAAGAGCUCGUAGGCGGUUCGGUAAGUCGGGUGUGAAAACUCUGGGCUCAACCCAGAGCCGCCACCCGAUACUGCUGUGACUCGAGUGCGGUAGGGGAGCGGGGAAUUCCUGGUGUAGCGGUGAAAUGCGCAGGAUAGUCGGGAGGAACACCUGCGGCGAAGGCGGGUAGCUGGGGCCGACACUGACGCUGAUGCGCGAAAGCCAGGGGAGCGAACGGG
rnacentral:rRNA from 1 species